GAUGAACGCUGGCGGCGUGCCUAACACAUGCAAGUCGAGCGAGGGUUUGCUCAGUAUUGAGUAUUCUAAGACUAGAAUGUUCAAUUCUGAGCAAAACCAAGCGGCGGACGGGUGAGUAACGCGUGGGUAACCUGCCCUAUACACAUGGAUAACAUACUGAAAAGUUUACUAAUACAUGAUAAUAUAUAUUUGCGGCAUCGCAGAUAUAUCAAAGUGUUAGCGGUAUAGGAUGGACCCGCGUCUGAUUAGCUAGUUGGUGAGAUAACUGCCCACCAAGGCGACGAUCAGUAGCCGACCUGAGAGGGUGAUCGGCCACAUUGGAACUGAGACACGGUCCAAACUCCUACGGGAGGCAGCAGUGGGGAAUAUUGCACAAUGGGCGAAAGCCUGAUGCAGCAACGCCGCGUGAACGAUGAAGGUCUUCGGAUCGUAAAGUUCUGUUGCAGGGGAAGAUAAUGACGGUACCCUGUGAGGAAGCCCCGGCUAACUACGUGCCAGCAGCCGCGGUAAUACGUAGGGGGCUAGCGUUAUCCGGAUUUACUGGGCGUAAAGGGUGCGUAGGUGGUCCUUCAAGUCGGUGGUUAAAGGCUACGGCUCAACCGUAGUAAGCCGCCGAAACUGGAGGACUUGAGUGCAGGAGAGGAAAGUGGAAUUCCCAGUGUAGCGGUGAAAUGCGUAGAUAUUGGGAGGAACACCAGUAGCGAAGGCGGCUUUCUGGACUGCAACUGACACUGAGGCACGAAAGCGUGGGUAGCAAACAGGAUUAGAUACCCUGGUAGUCCACGCUGUAAACGAUGAGUACUAGGUGUGCAGGGGUUACCCCCCUCGGUGCCGCAGCUAACGCAUUAAGUACUCCGCCUGGGGAGUACGCACGCAAGUGUGAAACUCAAAGGAAUUGACGGGGACCCGCACAAGUAGCGGAGCAUGUGGUUUAAUUCGAAGCAACGCGAAGAACCUUACCUAAGCUUGACAUCCCUCGGACAGGUGUUUAAUCACACCCUUCUUUCGGGACUGAGGUGACAGGUGGUGCAUGGUUGUCGUCAGCUCGUGUCGUGAGAUGUUGGGUUAAGUCCCGCAACGAGCGCAACCCUUGUCUUUAGUUGCCAGCAUUUAGUUGGGCACUCUAGAGAGACUGCCAGGGAUAACCUGGAGGAAGGUGGGGAUGACGUCAAAUCAUCAUGCCCCUUAUGCUUAGGGCUACACACGUGCUACAAUGGGUGGUACAGAGGGUUGCCAAACCGUGAGGUGGAGCCAAUCCCUUAAAGCCAUUCUCAGUUCGGAUUGUAGGCUGAAACUCGCCUACAUGAAGCUGGAGUUACUAGUAAUCGCAGAUCAGAAUGCUGCGGUGAAUGCGUUCCCGGGUCU
rnacentral:rRNA from 1 species